rnacentral:tRNA from 1 species
GGACAGGUGGCAGAGUGGUUGAAUGCACCAGUCUCGAAAACUGGCGUACCCGCAAGGGUAUCGAGAGUUCGAAUCUCUCCCUGUCCG